AGAGUUUGAUCCUGGCUCAGAUUGAACGCUGGCGGCAGGCCUAACACAUGCAAGUCGAGCGGAUGACGGGAGCUUGCUCCUUGAUUCAGCGGCGGACGGGUGAGUAAUGCCUAGGAAUCUGCCUGGUAGUGGGGGACAACGUUUCGAAAGGAACGCUAAUACCGCAUACGUCCUACGGGAGAAAGCAGGGGACCUUCGGGCCUUGCGCUAUCAGAUGAGCCUAGGUCGGAUUAGCUAGUUGGUGGGGUAAUGGCUCACCAAGGCGACGAUCCGUAACUGGUCUGAGAGGAUGAUCAGUCACACUGGAACUGAGACACGGUCCAGACUCCUACGGGAGGCAGCAGUGGGGAAUAUUGGACAAUGGGCGAAAGCCUGAUCCAGCCAUGCCGCGUGUGUGAAGAAGGUCUUCGGAUUGUAAAGCACUUUAAGUUGGGAGGAAGGGCAGUAAGUAAUACCUUGCUGUUUUGACGUUACCGACAGAAUAAGCACCGGCUAACUCUGUGCCAGCAGCCGCGGU
rnacentral:rRNA from 1 species